AGAAAGAAGAAAUAUUA
rnacentral:miRNA from 1 species